UUCGGAAUUACUGGGCGUAAAGGGCUCGUAGGUGGCCAACUAAGUCGGACGUGAAAUCCCUCGGCUUAACCGGGGAACUGCGUCCGAUACUGGUUGGCUUGAGUUUGGGAGAGGGAUGCGGAAUUCCAGGUGUAGCGGUGAAAUGCGUAGAUAUCUGGAGGAACACCGGUGGCGAAGGCGGCAUCCUGGACCAAUACUGACGCUGAGGAGCGAAAGCCAGGGGAGCAAACGGG
rnacentral:rRNA from 1 species